UACGUAGGGGGCGAGCGUUAUCCGGAUUUACUGGGUGUAAAGGGAGCGUAGACGGUUAAUCAAGUCUGAAGUGAAAGCCCGCGGCUCAACUGCGGAACGGCUUUGGAAACUGAGUAACUGGAGUGCUGGAGGGGCAGGCGGAAUUCCUGGUGUAGCGGUGAAAUGCGUAGAUAUCAGGAGGAACACCGGUGGCGAAGGCGGCCUGCUGGACAGUAACUGACGUUGAGGCUCGAAAGCGUGGGGAGCAA
rnacentral:rRNA from 1 species